rnacentral:rRNA from 1 species
UGCAAGUCGAGCGCGAAUGGAGCAAUCCUAGUAGAGCGGCGCACGGGUGCGUAACACGUGGAUAAUCUGCCUAGAAGACCGGAAUAACCUGCCGAAAGGCUGGCUAAUACCGGAUAAGCCCCCAGGGUCCUCGGACCUCGUGGGAAAAGGUGGCCUCUGUAUACAAGCUAUCACUUUUAGAUGAGUCCGCGGCCCAUCAGUUAGUUGGCGGGGUAAUGGCCCACCAAGACUACGACGGGUAGCUGGUCUGAGAGGACGAUCAGCCACACUGGAACUGAGACACGGUCCAGACUCCUACGGGAGGCAGCAGUGGGGAAUUUUGCACAAUGGGCGAAAGCCUGAUGCAGCAACGCCGCGUGUGUGAUGAAGGUCUUCGGAUCGUAAAGCACUUUCGACCGGGACGAAAACCCUUUGGCUAACAUCCAAAGGCUUGACUGUACCGGGAGAAGAAGCACCGGCUAACUCUGUGCCAGCAGCCGCGGUAAUACAGAGGGUGCAAGCGUUGUUCGGAAUUAUUGGGCGUAAAGCGCGUGUAGGCGGCUUUGCAAGUCGGGUGUGAAAGCCCCCAGCUCAACUGAGGAAGUGCGCCCGAAACUGCAGAGCUUGAGUACCGGAGAGGAUGGCGGAAUUCCCCAAGUAGAGGUGAAGUUCGUAGAUAUGGGGAGGAACACCGGUGGCGAAGGCGGCCAUCUGGACGGAUACUGACGCUGAGACGCGAAAGCGUGGGUAGCAAACAGGAUUAGAUACCCUGGUAGUCCACGCCGUAAACGAUGAGAACUAGGUGUCGUGGGUGUUGACCCCCGCGGUGCCGUAGCUAACGCAUUAAGUUCUCCGCCUGGGAAGUACGGCCGCAAGGCUAAAACUCAAAGGAAUUGACGGGGGCCCGCACAAGCGGUGGAGCAUGUGGUUUAAUUCGACGCAA